GUUGAGAGGUUGUACUUUCAAAGGGCUGCUACUGGAACCACUGUAGAAAGGAACUGUUUUAGAAACCAAAUGGACAGAAGGGAGACUGGGAAAUCUUUGGUUACUGAGGUUCCAUGAUGUCCAUCCUCUCUUGGACUGCUGGCUCCAGCUCCUGUAUAAUGUCACAGUGUACACCGUGCUGUUGAUAUGCCUUCUGUCAUGGAGCCGUGCUUGCAACAUGGGGUGAAAUCUUGGUCCCCCUGAAGUCAAUGGCAGGAUUACAUCUAAGAUGCUUAAUCGUGGUAGGGUGUUUUGGCAUGCAAAACAGACAUGGACAAGUGGCAAAUGUGAUUUUGUAAUUGACAUUCACGAUGGAAUUUCUUCGUACGUUUUCCUACCAUAAGGACUUCAAUAUUUCCAUUAAAAUAUGUUAUAUGUCUUGUUGAACAUUUAAACUGAAGAUCACUUGCACAGAAUAUGACCAUGAUUUUCCCCCGAGUUAUUUCUUUGCAUUUCCACCAACAGAUAUUAGAGAUUAAGAUAGUAUGGCUGCCCAGCUCAGCCUCACUCCAGUACAGUAUAGGGAGAUCCUCCAGUGGCAUAGAGCGGGUGUAGCAUUUCUUAUAUCUCCUGGGUUUUGGUGUUGGGGGUAUAGCCAAAGGAAAAAUGGUAUAGCUGCCUUGUGGCAAUCUACAGCUGCUCUGUUAGCCCUGUGGGAUUGUUGGCAGCUGGUGAAGCCUUCAGGCUGCCUAAUUUAUAUAGAAGAUUAGCCUGGCAGACAGAAUU